UUUUGCAGUGCCACCAGACACAAACACAACUCUCAAUGGGCUUCAGUGUCCAGCCUGCUAUUCCUUGGGGGCAAAUAAUUGCCAGGCAACGACAUCAGUCCCCUGCGUUGGUGAGGAGACUCGAUGCCUCAAUGGAUCUGGUUUUGCCAAAAUAUAUAUUGGUUUUUGGCCUAUUUCACGAAACUUUGCUGUCCAGGGCUGCGCUACGCCAAACUUAUGCACCUUUCCACCAGCGCCAGUAGGACUAUCCAGCAAACAAAUGGUAUUCAACGUGACUACACUGGCGUGUGGCGAUGCCACCAGGAUCAAGAGCAGCCAGCCCUUGCCGGGCAAAUAGGAAAUUAUGAAGCUGUCUCCCUGCAGAUUCCACCAUUUCUGGGAGCAGAGAAGGAAGUUGGAGACUGUGGUUGAAGCACGGGGGGGUCAGGACUCCUGGCUUUGUUUACUGCAAGGGGAGAGGUGAAUGUGUUGCCAGAAAUGGCAAAGGAAACUGAUGCAAAAAUGUAGCGGCUUUUGAUACAGGAAAUCAGAUUUACGGGAUAAAAUUUCACGGAACUGUAAUCAAAAUAAAUCGAUAUUUGCAAACAA